GAUAUCAACUGAAAAAGUCAUCAACAACAAAGUUGAAUAACUCAUCAAGAUCUAAAACUUUUAUUUUGGUCAUUUCUUCAUACGACAAAGUGAUAGUAACAUUGUUCACAAAAUUGACAUAUCUCUUAUCUGGUUUUAUAAACUAUAACACAUAUAUGUAAAAUUUGUGAAUAAUAUUACUAACAUUUCGUCAGAUGAAGAAAUAACAAAAAUUAAAAGUUUUAGAUCUUGAUGAGUUAUUCAACUUUGUUGUUGAUGACUUUUUCAAUUGAAAUC
rfam:Oryza sativa (indica cultivar-group) chromosome 5, whole genome shotgun sequence.